rnacentral:tRNA from 1 species
GAGAGUUGGCCGAGCGGUUGAAGGCACCGGUCUUGAAAACCGGCGUGCGCAAGCACCGUGGGUUCGAAUCCCACACUCUCC